GACCACGCCCCCUAGCUGGGGGAUUCUAGGUGGGGCUCGAUGCUGAUCACGCCCCUAGACCUCUCCUGGGGGGCAUCUUAGGCAGAGGUCCACUACUGGAGACACCCCAUCCCCUACUGGGGGAUUCUAGGCAGGGUUCCACCCUGGCCAUGCCCCUCCCCACCCACUACUUAGACACUCCCACUAUUUAGUUCAGGCUACCCUUUUAAGUCACAAUCCUCCUGCCUCAGCUCUAGCUGACUCACCCAGCGUGAUGGGCUUGCUGUCCUCCUGGUCUGAGCCCACUCCUGUCCGGGGGCUGCUGCUCUGCUCUGCUUCUGCCAAGAGAGGAGGGGACAAUUGGUGACACUGCAGGGAUCUCUGAUCCUAGUCCUGCCAUUUCUGUGCUGUGUGGACUUCAGAAAUCUCCAGGAGACACAGAAUGAAGGCUGGACUGGAGGUGGACUUUCCUGUUGAUGUCAUAGGCGUGUAGUGACACAAACAGCCACCCUCCACCCACCCACAGAAACUAACAUCAGCCUGGCAGUGCUGUGUGACUUCAGGAAGAGCACUUGACAGUGCUUAAAACGCCCGCCAAUCCACUGUUGAAUAAAUAAAAGCGGUAGCCAAACAGA